UUAGACUGCAAAUCUGAGGCCUGGACACCCAGCCUGACUAUGAGCCUUGAUCAACACAGGUCCUCAUUUUCUAGGCUGUACCAACCCAAGCCUGAGCCUUCAAUGGCUCAUUCCUCCUGCUACCCUGUGUAUCUUGAUUUUAGGCAGGCCUAAUAACUACAGUCAGCACCAGGAGAGAGUGUGCUAGGAUAGGAACAGUGCCCCUUACUCUCAGAGGUGGGAGGACAGGAGUAGUUGUUUCUGCCUGUGGUCAGCGUAUACUUGUUUGCCACCUGGUGUCCCCUUCUCCCUUGGAACAGCCAAUGUUUUGCACACAGAACUGGACUAGAGAGAGAGAAGCUUAGGCAGGUGUGGGUGAGUGCAGCACAGGCUGUCCGUAAGCAGUAAGAGGGCUGGCAGUAAGUACACCUGGGAACAGCUGCAGGAGAACUAGUGCAUUUAUUUGGGGGUGGGGGGUUGGGAGGAGCUAUUUAUGCCCCCUAGGGAGGUGGCCAAGAUCUCUGGGGCAAGGUUUAUGUGGCCAUAGACCCUUGAGAGUUUUGUUUUUCUAGAAUCAAACUGGCUUUUCUUAUUCAUAUACUUAGUAAUAAACAGGGUAGAACUGUA
rnacentral:lncRNA from 1 species